rnacentral:rRNA from 1 species
AGUGAACGCUGGCGGUAGGCCUAACACAUGCAAGUCGAGCGGCAGCACAGGAGAGCUUGCUCUCUGGGUGGCGAGUGGCGGACGGGUGAGGAAUACAUCGGAAUCUACUCUGUCGUGGGGGAUAACGUAGGGAAACUUACGCUAAUACCGCAUACGACCUACGGGUGAAAGCAGGGGACCUUCGGGCCUUGCGCGAUUGAAUGAGCCGAUGUCGGAUUAGCUAGUUGGCGGGGUAAAGGCCAACCAAGGCGACGAUCCGUAGCUGGUCUGCGAGGAUGAUCAGCCACACUGGAACUGCGACACGGUCCAGACUCCUACGGGAGGCAGCAGUGGGGAAUAUUGGACAAUGGGCGCAAGCCUGAUCCAGCCAUACCGCGUGGGUGAAGAAGGCCUUCGGGUUGUAAAGCCCUUUUGUUGGGAAAGAAAUCCAGCUGGCUAAUACCCGGUUGGGAUGACGGUACCCAAAGAAUAAGCACCGGCUAACUUCGUGCCAGCCGCCGCGGUAA